rnacentral:misc_RNA from 1 species
AAGUCGUAACAAGGUCUCCGUAGGUGAACCUGCGGAGGGAUCAUUAACACGUUUUAAAACACGUUUUAACACCAACCAACCACGUGAACUAUUUCAUUCCCUGACCUGGGAGUGAGAGAAUCUGUCUCCACGCACUAAUGAUGAGCUCUCGCAAGGGAGCGGUGUGUUUAGACUGGCAUUGCAGUUCCGCAAGGAGCUGACUCUACAAGACCUCUCUCUUUCAGGCUUUAAACCAAUGUUCCUCUCAUCACUGGAGCGAAAAACACCCCUUUCACCUUUCUAUAACUAUUGACUGAUCUUUCUUUGUUGUUACAGCAAUGUAAUAAUACACAGAAAACUUAAUCAAAUAUCUAAGCACAACUCUUAGCAACGGAUAUCUUGGUUCUC